AGUGUGGCUGGAGGUUGGGUUUCAGUGUUCGCCCUGUGAGGGGCAGGAGAUGCAUUGCAUCCAAAGGAACAGUACUCACUGGGGCAGAAAGGAAAAGGGAAAAAUGCAACGGCUGUCAAUCUGCCAAUUGCUUGAACGACACCAAGAACGAAAAUAUCCAGGAUUAGUUAAACGUCUAUAUUUCUCAUAAUGUAAAGAAUUUGGAGUUUCUACAAUUGCUGGAAUUUUCACCGGGACUGCGAAUCCCCAGACCUUAAGCACGAGUGCAUUAUUUUCACUUGUUUUAUGUGUGUUUCCAGCAACGUUUGGGAACACAUUGAUGCGGGAUUUCGGAUUAUUGCGCUAACUGAAUCGACAUCCGCAAGAAAUAUUGGCUCUGUUAAUGGAAAAAAAAAUGCCUCUCAGAAUUUUCCUUGGGAUAAUUGGAAUUUGAACCGUUUUCAUUUGGGGGUGGUGGCAUGUUUUCACCAAGAAAUGAAAAUGUCAUGGUCACGAUUAAACAACCGUGAGAAUAAGCAGUAUGGAUACCAGCUGAAUCAAUGGAGAUGGCUAUUACCAAGCUAUGUUCCCGGAAAAUAUAAACGUGGAAUUAUGUUACAAGCUUUUGGAAUGUUCCUGUCAUUUGGUAUUGAGUGGAUUCCAUGGAUGUCCGAGGAUAUAUUGUAUCCAGAUGAUGUAUUGAAAAGCCUGGGAUGUAUACAGGAUACUCCGUGGAUUUAAACUCGGAACAAUAAUGUGGAUUUUGGCAGUUUUGGGUCUGGAUUUAGUAAGAGAUACUUUGCUGUAUAAUCCUCAACUAAAGUGACAAAGCACAUCCAAGUGAUAUGGAAAGGGCACCACAGAAGGCCACAGCGUUAGGCAAUCAGUGAAGCUGCUAAGCAAGGACCAAGUUGGGCUUGGCUUCGAUGGACCCCACAGUCACAGCUCGUACAUGAAGACGGUGCCCUUGGUUGAGGCACCGGAGGGCUGCCAGCAUUCGUACGAGAACCUUCCAGCAUGAGUCGAUGCCUUCAGCUCCACCGGGGGAAAAAAAUUGGAAAGGAACAGUAUUCCAGAUCUGCAUGAGUUAUUCUACAUGCAACCACUCCUACCAGGUCAUCAAAAGAUUGCUACUGCUCAAUAGUAGAGGAGUAAUAAGCUGUCAAAUGUGACAUCGUGGGCAACAUCCGCUUAAUAUUGAAGGCUGAAACUCAAUCUUCACUCCAGAAUAUCCCAAACGGACACCAUAACAAUGUCAAAAAACCAUUUCAACACCUUCUCAUUUUGACCUCCACCUGCACAGUUUCAUAAAUGCUUGAGCUUAACUCUGCAACGGACACCAUUUCCAACACAGUUCAGAAAAUAAGCUGCAAAAGAACAAAGUUGCUGGGAAUAUGCAAGAGGAUGUCAGAUGAACGAAACCUAAAUAGAUCUCUGUGAAGGAUUUUUUGAAUGGAUGCCAACAAUUCCGAAUUUCCUUUCUUUUUCAAUGUUUCAAUGCUAAGAUCACUAGCCGUAAAUUCUGUAUGGAAGUUAUUUGUGUCAAUGAAACUUAAAUCUGAAGUGCUUUGUUUUUUAAAUAAAUGUGAUCUAUUUAUGAGCAUAGCAAGUACAUUGAAUUAUAAACUCCAAAUGAUUUUGGAAAAUCCAUUUGGAGCUUUGUGAUGAGGGUUUCAUUAUCUUUUUACAUUUUGUGUAUUUAGGUUCUUGUGAGAAGUCUUUUCAAAAAUGACCCAUCUAAUGAAGGGAAUAUGUAUUUGUGUACUCUUUCUAUUUUCUUAUAAUAACUUCUCAAGAAUGCAUAAAUUAUGUUCAUUUUGUUUGUAAGCAGAUAAUUUCAUUGUAACCUGUUCUUCAGUUUAAAGUCAUAAAGUCGUAUGUCAUAGAAACAGGUUCUUUCAUCCAUCAAGUCUCUGCCAACCAUCAAGCAUCCAUUUAUAUUAAUCACAUUUUAUCUCUCCACAUUGCCAUCAGCAGAUUCUACCACCCACCUGCACACUAGGGGCAAGUGACAGUGACGAAUUAACCUCCCAUCCUGCGUUUCUUUGGGAUAUGGGAGGAAACUGGAGCUCCCAGGGGAACCCCACACAUCCACAGGGAGAAUUUGCAAACUCUGCAUACAUAGCAUCAGAGAUGAGGGUUGAACCCAACUUGCUGGAGCUGUGAAGUGGAACCACUAUGCCACCCAACAUAAAGUCUAUGAUUUUGAAACUUCCUACUUUAGACAGUAAAUGUGUUUAAUUAAGAACAUCCAACUGCUGUAGAAAAUUGCCUGCUUUAUGAUAAUAUUAGCAAAUAUACAAAUGCUGAAUCAAACUUCUUCAAAGAUUCUUAUGUACAAUUAUUUAAUAGAACUAGUGUUCUAUUGUAGGUAAGAGAACAACCCAUGAGUUACUUCAUCUAAAUAGUUUCGGUCCAGGAUACACUGCAUUAAAGUUCGGGAGACCAGUAAACUUUUUAUUUAUUCAUUGUAUCUAAGUUAUUCCAUAUUUAGAAAUUAAUAUUGCAAAGUAGAAUACUUCAGCCCAUCAGAUGAAGGGAACUUCAUUGAAUGAUGUAAAAAUCUGGAAAAGUGAGAUGAAUUGCUCCCAAUAAACUUUAAUUAAAGACAAAGUUUAUCUCUAUACAUAAAGACAUAUGAAUCUUUCAGUACGAAUGUUAGUCCAUCUUCAAUGUCCAUGGUGUGAUCAGUUAAUUAUAUAACAGAUUUUAUAAUAUAUGCAUAUGCAUCAGUUUGAAACACUCAAGAAUUUUAAAACCGUUUCAGAAAGGUUUUCACUUGGCCUUCACUGUAACUACACCUGGCUGUACAUAUUUUCUUUUAUUCAACUCUAGAAAUAAUUUUGUUUGCUCCUUAUUAAGAUGUGCAUACCAAUAGAAUAAUUUACUGUAUACCUUUCAUUUUUAUUAUGAUUACUGCAACAAUGUGAUACAAAUUAUAACUUUGUGUAAUAAACACUUU